GUGCUUACUUCGACAACACUUCUACAAAAAUUGAAACAAUAUGGAGAAGAUUUGCAUGGCCCUUGUGUAAGGAUGACAUUUAAAUUUGUGAAGUUCUCUGUAUAAGG